rnacentral:tRNA from 1 species
UGGAGUACAUCCAAGUGGUAAGGUAUCGGUUUUUGGUACCGGCAUGCAAAGGUUCGAAUCCUUUUACUCCAG